UGGGCUAAAAAGAGAAGAUUUCUGCCUUGAAAGAACAGGCGAGGAGUCUGCAGAACGACGUCAGGGCUGAGUUUGCCGAAAUGCACCAGAGCCUCAGUGACACGGAGCAGUGUGUAAUGCGAGAGCUCAGAGAGUGAGAGGAGGAAAUGUUAUAGGGUUUGAAGAGGCGUUAAAAUCUAUAGACCCAGAAUUAGUAACGUUACAGCGGCAAAUAGAUGAACAGGUCAUGGGGUCCUUUCUGAGGGAGGAAGAUUCUCGGAAGAUCAGGUCUGACGUUCUCUUCAAACAAACUGUUUCACUCAUUAAUGUCAAAGCAGUAACCACGGGAUCCACUCUGCUGCCUGUGCCCUUUCUACUGCCACCCCCUCCCCAGCUCCCUGUGUCCCCGACCGGCCCCACCCAUCCCUCCCUCACUUUUAAUGGCCUCCAAGACCUUGAUCCUCCUGACCUCAGUGACCUAUUAACACUAUACCAACCUGUCUGCUCCACCUGCUCCAU